CCUAAAAGGUGCCUUUGUGGUUGUAACUGGCAACUGCCAGUGAAUCUCCCCAGCUAUCAAAUCAGAAAGAGGCUACACUGCAAAGAUGUAGGUGAAACACAACAGAAAGCACAAGACAGCAGAGCAAGAUCCUUGGCUACCGCAAGCACUGAUCCACUCAAACGCAACAGCAGUAGGAACUAAAAGAAGAGAAAGAAAUUGCUUACCUUUGAAAUGCCUGCAAGGUCCUCAGGUGCUGGGGAAUGGACACCUGUGGAGCUAAACUGUGUGACCUGGUUCAUCCCUCACCAGUGAUGAAGCUUUCAUUGAUGACUGCUUUUUGGUGGUGUCCAGCAAGGAGCUUGGGCUGCUGCUGCAUCAUGCCAGCUCCAGCUCUCACUGCAGGGGAACACUGUCCACAUC